rnacentral:rRNA from 1 species
CGCGAUUCGCCCUUGGGGUGCACCAGGCGCGAAAACUCUACAAUGCAGGCAACUGCGAUAGGGGGACAUCGAGUGGCAUCCACCUUGGGUGCCUGUCCAACCGUCUAAAAAACGGUUGUUAGCAAGGGCCGGGUAAGACCGGUGCCAGCCGCCGCGGUAAUACCGGCGGCUCGAGUGGUGGCCGAUAUUAUUGAGUCUAAAGGGUCCGUAGCCGGCUUUGCAAGUCCCCUGGGAAAUCCAGCGGCUUAACCGUUGGGCUUUCAUGGGAUACUACAUUGCUUGGGACUGGGAGAGGUAGGAGGUACUCGGGGGGUAGGGGUGAAAUCCUGUAAUCCUCCGGGGACCACCGGUGGCGAAGGCGUCCUACCAGAACAGGUCCGACGGUGAGGGACGAAAGCUAGGGGCACGAACCGGAUUAGAUACCCGGGUAGUCCUAGCCGUAAACGAUGCCCGCUAGGUGUCACGACGGUCGUGAAUCGUCGUGGUGCCGUAGGGAAGCCGCGAAGCGGGCCACUUGGGAAGUACGGCCGCAAGGCUGAAACUUAAAGGAAUUGGCGGGGGAGCAC